rnacentral:rRNA from 1 species
CCUACGGGGUGCAGCAGUGAGGAAUAUUGGUCAAUGGGCGCGAGCCUGAACCAGCCAAGUAGCGUGAAGGAUGACUGCCCUACGGGUUGUAAACUUCUUUUAUCAAGGAAUAAAGUGAUGCACGUGUGCCUUUUUGUAUGUACUUUAUGAAUAAGGAUCGGCUAACUCCGUGCCAACAGCCGCGGUAAUACGGAGGAUCCGAGCGUUAUCCGGAUUUAUUGGGUUUAAAGGGUGCGUAGAUGGGUUGUUAAGUCAGUUGUGAAAGUUUGCGGCUCAACCGUAAAAGUGCAAUUGAUACUGGCAGCCUUGAGUAAAGUAGAGGUAGGCGGAAUGCGUGGUGUAGCGGUGAAAUGCUUAGAUAUCACGAAGAACUCCGAUUGCGAAGGCAGCAUACUAAACUGCCACUGACAUUGAUGCACGAAAGUGUGGGUAUCAAACAGGAUUAGAUACCCGGGUAGUC